rnacentral:lncRNA from 1 species
CAUAGCUGGACAAGUAAAGUUGGGAUGAGAGUGGACAAUGAUACCUUAGACUCAUACAGGCUCUCUCUCCUCUAUCAGAAGAUAAUGUCCAAGAGAAGACCUGAGUCAGAACAGAGCCAGCCAUGGUCAAGACUCUCCUCCUGAGAAACAUGAAGUGCACAGGUCCUGCGGAAGGAAGGGUCUAGUCUCCAGUGGACAGCAGAGCUGGUGUGUCAGGACCCUGGUUAAGGACAAAGGAAAAGAUGGAAGGUGCAGUAGCUCAUGCCUGUCAUUCCAGCUGUUGGGAGGCAGAGGGUCGAAAGGAGCAAUCGAGUUAUCUUCGUAGAAUCCGCUUGACAAAAGCCGGUUACCUGUCUCGUCAACAGCAUGAGCAAGAUGGCUGAAGUAAGUCAAAUCACUGUUCCUGAACUCACUUUCAACCCCCCCCCCCCCCAGCACAGAAGUGAACGGCUCCACUCUUCACUGUCCCCGGGAACAAGCGCUGCUAAUACCUAGAACAAUGCUAAGCACCAUUGCUAACCGUUUUGGGACUCACUCGGCAGGUGUUUAUUGAGCACUGACUGUGUGCCUCUCCUGGGUCUCAGAACCGGGGAUGCAAAAUUGAAUAAGUCUUCUGAACAAAGAGGGCUUACAGUGGCAGCGAUUUCCGGCAAUUCAGUACGCUGUGCUUUUGUUGUGUCUCAUUUUACUGAAAGUGUAUUUUUAAAGAAUGUUUGGGAAUUAUAGCCCUACGAUAAAAUAUGUUUUGUUUCACUUCCUUUAUGACAGCAGUGACCUUCUGACCAAAAGCAAAAUUCUGGC